GCACCGCGCCGCCGACUCACUGAACACGAUCGAUUCUGCCGACACACCGACUCGCGGUGUUGAUGUCCGACGCAGUUCCAGACCGGGACAAAGGCCGACGGAGGAGCCGGAGCCGCACGAGCUGCACUGCGUCCACCGGCCGGGUCAGUCGACAGAACGGGUGGUCCAACAGUGUGUGGACGGUACUGAGCUCUGUCCACCGGAGCCGACCACGGCGGAGGCGGCGAAUAUCAGAUGGAGAUGACAGAUGUGCGUGAAGACCUGGCCGCCCUUCGCCGGGAGAUGGCCUCACUGAGCAAAGUGGUGGCCGGUGCGGUGGUCCGCCUGGAGCAGGCAGUUAUCGAGGAGCGGACCACUCGCCAGACCGUGGUGGAGGAUCUGCGGCAGGAGGUCCGCCGGCGAGCGGCGCCAUCCGGCCGUCCCCAGGGGGCUAGAAAACAGGCGAAUGACGUCACGGUACAGACGGAGCCCC